AUUGAACCCCGCAAUCUUGGUUUUCUCAAAAAGAACAAAACUGCGCUUUGCGGAUUGGGCCCGCCGCCCUUGUCUUUAUUCCCACCCGGGAGCACGCCCGGCCCCGCCCCGGUAGCUGCAAGGGCGAGACAGGUAACCAGCACAGGGUUACCUGCCCGCGGCCCGCAGGACCUUGUAGCCGCCGAGGGCCGGGGGAGCCAACCCUUUGCUCUCCUGCGAGUCUGUGCGGCGUUUGGGGCAAAUUCCCAACCCUGUCCCCCCUCCACCCUCGGGUGCAAGUGUAAUCCGACGCUGGAGCUUCUCCGGGAGGCCUGGAUCCGCAACGAGGCACGUCCAGCUUCCGUAUUUGGAACCCGGUGAUCAGCGCUGAUGAAAGGGAGGUGCUAAUAAGAAGAAUACGGAGGGUGAAAUCUUUUCAUUGCGCCUCAGCCAAAAGCAUAUUUACAUUAAAAGGAGGUCUUUGGUGGAACAGGAGCCCGAGCGGAAGAAGAUCGAGGGGUCUGCAGAGAGGAAAAAAGACCGUACAGUCAGCGGCUGGGGCCUCAAGCCAGAGCCAGGGGCACACGAGCCUCGUGGGUUCUCCGGGAGGCCAGGCUUGGCCACCAGUCUUCGGAACACGCUGGCCAAUGUUUAACCCGAAUGCGGUGGCCACCCGGCCGCUUUUGUUUGUUCGCAAAUUAAUCACCCAGCGCACGGCCGGCGCCGGAGUCGCGUUUAUCACCACCAGGAGGGGGGCGCGACGGGCACGCAGAGACAAAGAGGAGUUCGCACCUUCCCGUUUUUGAUCCCAGAAUUACAGCGGCCUCCCUGCAUAAUACGAGCCUCCUGGGGCCGAGUCUGGGAGGUCAGUCAUAAUUGGCGGAAGUUUGCAGACCAUUAGCAAGAUGUGGACAUUUUCGAUUCAGAACCCCGCAAACUUUCCUCUACCCGGCUCCUUGGCGUGCCGGAGUAGGGGAUGGGGUGGGGGGCGGGUCGGAUCGGGCCAGCUGGGGUGACUUGAGGGUUAAGUUAGAACUACGGACAAAAAUCGGCAAGGGGGGGGGAGUUAGUGUGAGGGGCUGAAGUCACUCUCAGUCCUUGGCGGAGCCCAAAAGCAAGUCCAGAUAUUCCUAAGUAAAAUCACCAAGUCGCUCUUGCCUAUUUCCAAAGCAGGCGGGAGGCCAGGGUGCAGAGGACCGGAUGGAAACGUCUCCCCGCCACGCAACGCCAUGCAGAUGGGUGCUUGGGGCACGGAGAGGGUGAGGAAGGGGUCGAUCACAUUGUGGUUGCAAAAGUACUUUCCUUCCACUCCACGCAGCCAAGCAGAGAUUGGCCCGGGAUUGCAGGCAAAACCAGAUCUCAGGGAUUUGGGGCCGUUCUGGAAAGCGCUGCGAAGCGGCCCCAGGUCCUAGCAGCCAGCAAUGUGGGGGAGGGGUUGCUUUUUGCCUCCGGAGACUUAAACUCUGCAGUGACCUCUGUGUUUCGCAUAAGGAGGGGCAAGGCCUGGCCUCUCGCACCCUUCGGGAUGAGGCAGCAGGGCAGUGGGGGUUCUUAGGAGUCAGUAUUCUGGGCCCCACCACCUCGUUCUCUUUCUCCAAUCUUUACAACCGGCCGAGAGAGACAGAGAGGACGCCAGAGAAAAGACCGAAAGGGAAAGGAAGAGGAGAAACGACCGGCCAGACCGAGUUUGCAGAAACACUCCAUUCUCUCUGGUGACUUUAGGGAAUUCUCAAUGCUGGCGCCAAGCGCUCUUUACCAUGUGCGUCAAAAAUGCGAGGCUGGAAAAGCUUGUCGCCUCAAAAGUUCCUCCCCAUCUCCGAGAGCGUUUGGCCUCAAAACCUCACUGCAUUUCCAUGGUUCCCUGCUGCCCCUGCGGAUCCGAGAGCUGGGGUUCAGGGAGCACCCAGGCGAAAUGUCACAGAGGACUGGGCUGGCCUGCACACGCACGCACAACCAGAAGCCCUCUUUCCCAUUUCCACUUCCAUCAAAGGAGCUCUCAUUUUACGACGAGUCAAAGAACGUUGUCCCCAAGAUUUUCUUCCACCUAAGCAGGGACGGCCCAGGUUACUGCCUGCGCCCCAGAAGUAUGAACUGUGGGUUUGGGGGGAAUCUCUUAACCCUGACAGGGAGCUUCGGUUUUAGUUACCAAGUCCGCAACAGGUCUGAUCCAUAAGAUCCGGCUCACUCCCUCCUCCCCUGCGCCCUCGCUGAAGCCCCCACCCAAUCUGAACUGGAACCAGCCACCUCGCCUCUGGGGGGGGGGGG